rnacentral:rRNA from 1 species
AGAACGAACGCUGGCGGCAGGCCUCAAACAUGCAAGUCUAGGGGGGUGCAGCAAUGCAUCACCGGCGGACGGGUGCGUAACACGUGGGAAUAUACCUUUUGGUUCGGAACAACGCAGGGAAACUUGCGCUAAUGCCGAAUGUGCCCUUACGGGGGAAAGAUUUAUCGCCAAAGGAUUAGCCCGCGUCCGAUUAGCUAGUUGGUGAGGUAAUGGCUCACCAAGGCUCCGAUCGGUAGCUGUUCUGAGAGGAAGAUCAGCCACACUGGGACUGAGACACGGCCCAGACUCCUACGGGAGGCAGCAGUUGGGAAUCUUGGACAUGGGGGAAACCCUGAUCCAGCCAUGCCGCGUGAGUGAUGAAGGCCUUCGGGUUGUAAAACUCUUUCGGACGGGGACGAUAAUGACGGUACCCGUAGAAGAAGCUCCGGCUAACUUCGUGCCAGCAGCCGC